rnacentral:rRNA from 1 species
AAAAUUAUAUGUAAAUUUAACUGUUAAUCCAAAGGGGUACAGCCCUUUGGAAAUAGGACACAACCUUCACUAGAGAGUAAGCAUAAACUAACAACCAUAGUUGGCCUAAAAGCAGCCAUCAAUUAAGAAAGCGUUCAAGCUCAACAAACUAUACUUAACUAAAUACAAUAAAUACACUCAAACUCCUAACUCUACACUGGACUAAUCUAUAUCAAUAUAGAAGCAAUACUGUUAAUAUGAGUAACAAGAUUUAAAUCUCCAAGCACAAGCGUAUAUCAGAACAAAUACUUAACUGAUAUUUAACGGCCAAAUAAAUUUAACCUAUAAUAAAUUAUUUAUUUUUUUUACCGUUAAUCCAACACAGGUGUGCACUCAAGGAAAGAUUAAAAGAAGUAAAAGGAACUCGGCAAACACAAACCCCGCCUGUUUACCAAAAACAUCACCUCUAGCAUUACUAGUAUUAGAGGCACUGCCUGCCCAGUGACAUUUGUUUAACGGCCGCGGUAUCCUGACCGUGCAAAGGUAGCAUAAUCAUUUGUUCCUUAAUUAGGGACUUGUAUGAAUGGCCACACGAGGGUUUAACUGUCUCUUACUUCCAAUCAGUGAAAUUGACCUUCCCGUGAAGAGGCGGGAAUAUAAAAAUUAGACGAGAAGACCCUAUGGAGCUUUAAUUUAUCUACUCCAAUAGAAUAACCAACAACCCACAUAGGAAUAACACUUAAUUCUAACUGGAUAGAAAAUUUCGGUUGGGGUGACCUCGGAGCAUAAAACAACCUCCGAGAAUUUCUACCAAGACUAACAAGUCAAAGUACUACACACUUAAUUGAUCCAGUCUAACUGAUCAACGGAAUAAGUUACCCUAGGGAUAACAGCGCAAUCCUAUUCUAGAGUCCCUAUCGACAAUAGGGUUUACGACCUCGAUGUUGGAUCAGGACAUCCUAAUGGUGUAGCAGCUAUUAAUGGUUCGUUU